rnacentral:rRNA from 1 species
UACGUAGGUGGCGAGCGUUGUCCGGAAUUACUGGGUGUAAAGCGCGCGUAGGCGGUAGGCCAAGUCUGCUGUGAAAUCGCCCGGCUCAACUGGGCGCGGUCGGUGGAAACUGGUCAACUGGAGGACGGUAGAGGCGAGUGGAAUUCCCGGUGUAGUGGUGAAAUGCGUAGAGAUCGGGAGGAACACCAGUGGCGAAGGCGGCUCGCUGGGCCGGACCUGACGCUGAGGCGCGAAGGCGUGGGGAGCGAACAGG